rnacentral:rRNA from 1 species
GACGUAGGGCGCGAGCGUUGUCCGGAUUUAUUGGGCGUAAAGAGCUCGUAGGCGGCUCGUCGCGUCGGUUGUGAAAUUCCGCGGCUUAACCGUGGGAUUGCAGCUGAUACGGGCGGGCUGGAGUUCGGUAGGGGAGACUGGAAUUCCUGGUGUAGCGGUGAAAUGCGCAGAUAUCAGGAGGAACACCGGUGGCGAAGGCGGGUCUCUGGGCCGAUACUGACGCUGAGGAGCGAAAGCGUGGGGAGCAAACAGG